rnacentral:rRNA from 1 species
UACGGGGGGAGCAAGCGUUGUUCGGAUUUACUGGGCGUAAAGGGCGCGUAGGCGGUCAGCACAAGUCAAUUGUGAAAUCUCCGAGCUUAACUCGGAAAGGUCAACUGAAACUGUGCGACUAGAGUGCGGAAGGGGCAACUGGAAUUCUUGGUGUAGCGGUGAAAUGCGUAGAUAUCAAGAGGAACACCUGAGGCGAAGGCGGGUUGCUAGGCUGACACUGACGCUGAGGCGCGAAAGCCAGGGGAGCAAACGGG